AUGGUCAAGGAUUUGAAGGUGGUCUUUGGAAAGGGUCCUGGUGGACAACCUGUUCCGAAUGACGCUGACGGACGCGCACCCAUGUGGAAGAAGAAAUCUAUAUUUUGGGACCUGCCCUAUUGGAAACACCUAGAGGUCCACUCCGCAAUCGAUGUGAUGCACGUGACGAAGAAUCUUUGUGUGACCCUGCUUGGCUUCUUGGGCGUGUAUGGGAAGACAAAAGAUACACCUGAGGCACGGGAGGACCAGCAACGUAUGCACGGAAAAGAGGGCAUACAUCAGGGUCAUGCAAGCUACACUCUUACCAAAGAAGAGAAGGAAAUCUUCUUUGAAUGCCUGCUCGGUAUUAAGGUACCGUCUAGCUUCUCGUCUAAUAUAAAGGGAAUAAUAAACAUGGCAGAGAAAAAGUUCCAGAACCUAAAGUCUCAUGACUGCCACGUGAUUAUGACGCAACUGCUUCCAGUUGCAUUGAGGGGGCUUCUACCGGAAAAUGUUCGAUUAGCCAUUGUGAAGCUAUGUGCAUUUCUCAAUGCAAUCUCUCAGAAGGUAAUUGAUCCAGAAAUCAUACCAAGGUUACAGAAUGAUUUGGUGCAAUGUCUUGUCAGUUUCGAGUUGGUGUUCCCACCAUCCUUCUUCAACAUCAUGACGCACGUCCUAGUUCACCUAUGCGAGGAGAUUAACGUUUUGGGUCCUGUAUUUCUACACAAUAUGUUCCCCUUUGAGAGGUUCAUGGGAGUCUUAAAGAAAUAUGUUCAUAACCGUGCUAGGCCAGAAGGAAGCAUCUCCAAUGGCCGUCAAAAUGAGGAGGUCAUUGAGUUUUGUAUUGACUUUAUUCCUGACCUUAAGCCGAUUGGUGUUCCUGAAUCGCGGCAUAAGGGCAGACUGGAUGGAAAAGGCACGCCAGGAGGGGAACACAUAAUAUGUAUGGACGGACAUUCUCUCACUGAAGCACACUACACAGUUCUACAGAAUUCCGCCUUGGUGGCUCCGUAUAUGGAUGAACACAAGAAUUUUCUACGCUCCAAACACCCGGAGCGGUCUGAUGACUGGAUUACACGUGAACAAACCAGGAGUUUCGCCAGCUGGUUGCAAGCACGUACCAUGCAUGACACCUCUAUUGAAGAUGACCUGUACUUGCUGUCCCAGUUACCAUCUUCGAAUAUAAUGACUUUCAAAGGGUACCAGAUAAAUGGUAAUACAUUUUACACGAUCGCCCAAGAUAAGAAGAGCACCAACCAAAACAGUGGUGUCCGCUUUGAUGCAGAAACCAAGACGGGAAAGGAAACAUAUUAUGGUUAUAUACAGGACAUAUGGGAACUUGACUAUCGACAUGGUUUGAAGGUCCCUUUGUUUCGGUGCAAAUGGGUCAAUAUGACACGAGGCGGGGUAACGGAAGACCCGCAGUACGGAAUGACAACAGUGGAUCUCAACAAUCUUGCGUAUGCAGACGAACCAUUCGUCCUAGCCAAUGAUGUGACACAGGUUUUCUAUGUGAAGGACAUGUCUACCAAGCCAAGAAAAAGAAAAGAUAAGGAAGCGAAUGCAUCGUACGAUGAGCCAAAGCGGCACAUAGUUCUUUCUGGGAAGAGAAACAUCGUGGGAGUGGAUGACAAGACAGACAAGUCAGAAGAUUAUGAAAAGUUUGAUGAAAUUGCUCCAUUCACAGUGAAUAUUGACCCGAGCAUCCCGUUAAAUGAUGAAGAUUUUCCAUGGUUACGGUGCAAAGGGACACACGCGAAGAAAAAGUUUCACACCCAAAGAUCUGGGAUGUGA
rnacentral:rRNA from 1 species